rnacentral:rRNA from 1 species
UACUAGAGUAGCACUCGCAUAUCAAUAAGCGGAGGAAAAGAAACUAACAAGGAUUCCCCUAGUAACGGCGAGUGAAGCGGGAAGAGCUCAAAUUUGAAAUCUUAAAGGGUUUCCCUUUACGAAUUGUAGUUUAAAGAAGUGUUUUCUGUUGAUGGUUUUGGUAAAAGUUCUUUGGAAUAGGACAUCAUAGAGGGUGAGAAUCCCGUAUUUGACCUUUACUUUCAACUUUGUGAUACACUUUCAAAGAGUCGGAUUGUUUGGGAAUGCAGUCCAAAAUGGGUGGUAAAUUUCAUCUAAAGCUAAAUAUUGGCGAGAGACCGAUAGCGAACAAGUACCGUGAGGGAAAGAUGAAAAGAACCUUGAAAAGAGAGUUAAACAGUACGUGAAAUUGUCAAAAGGGAAGCGUUUGACACCAGUGUUGUUUUUCUGAAAAUCAAUUAAAGAACUGUUUAUGCUAAGCUGUUUAGACUUUAUCAGCUAAUCUGUUUAGUUUUGAGCUUUUCUUUAAUGCACUUUUCAGUUAACAAGUCAACAUCAAUUUCUCUUGCUGUAAAAAAGCUUGAGGAAGGUGGCUUGAGAUUCGUCUUAAGUGUUUAUAGCCUCUUGCCUAUGCAGUCGGAGAGAUUGAGGUCUGCAGCGUAGAUCCUUCGGGGCUAAAUGCAUUUGUGCUAAGUUAUAGCAUUUUAUAGACAACUUGUUGACUAUGAUUUGUCUUGUAGCUUACUCGCUUAUGUUAUUUUACCUACGCUUAGGAUGUUGAGCGCAUGUCUCUCUCU